GCAUUAAUGGGGUAGUGGUAACCUGGGUCGUUGCCAUGAUCUCAGAGUGUUGAAGGCCACAUCUCGACCCGCCGGGGGUUCGAUUCCCUCUUAAUGCA